AGGCCGAUAGGGUCAUGGACUUCUCCCGACUGUAGCCAUCUCCUCGGAUUCGCUGCAGCCCCUCCCUUCCGGCCUUCCCGUCCGAGCAGAUCGCACGCCGCGUGGGGCCGCGGCCCAGCUGCUCCCUCCUCUCUCUGCUCCACGGCGACGUGUAGCUCCCCCCUACAGGCGUGCGCCCCCUCCCUCUCCAUCUCAUCGGAGAAGUUGGCGGAGGUCGUGCCAUCCCGUCGGCGUCUACCGGCCCUCGCCCCAGUCCUGCGCCGGUCGCCGAGAUAGGUACCACGAAGGCAUCAGGCGAUCUGGGAGGGUAAGGGUUAGAUAGAACCAGCCGGAUUGAAGCCUUUCAAGAUUCAGCUGAGCAGUGGAGAAAAAAAAUGACCCCUUAAUGAAUCAGGAGAAGAGUUUCUGCCUGCUGUUGCCUAAAUCUUCAGGUGGCUGCUGUCUUGGCAUUGCAAAGAUGGGAGAUGUGCUGAUUUCAAGUCUCAUGACCGGUGAUUGCAAUGAUAGCAUAUGUGUAUGUGCUUCAAGGUUUUGGGAAUUUUAUGGUCUGAGUGAUGAGACAAAGUAUAUGUGUAUGCUGAAUUUCUUCUACAUGCAAUAUAUUCGGCUGAUUUAUAACCUGAUGCUCGGUAUUAAUUAACUCUCUUUUAGAUACUUUUAUGGUUGCAAAUUGUUUUGUUUCCUACUUACUCUUUAAUAUAUUAAUAUAUUAGUACUCGCUUGUAUUUGGAUUAGCAUUUUGAGCUACCUACUAAAAUGUUCGGUAGCUACUAAUUCUGAUCCUCAAUUGUAAUAUAUGGUUUGACUGAACAUAUCGGCUGCACAUGCCAUUCAAUCAAGAAUACUGCCGCCGUUGUUAAGAUAUUUGCAUGAAACAA